GGUAUGAAAGAUAUGGCAUUGCACGGGUGCCCGCACAAGCAGUGGAGCAUGUGGUUUAAUUCGAUGCAAAGCGAAGAACCUUACCAGGGCUUGACAUGCCGCGAAUCCUCUUGAAAGAGAGGGGUGCCCUCGGGAAUGCGGACACAGGUGGUGCGUGGCUGUCGUCAGCUCGUGUCGUAAAGUGUUGGUUUAAGUCUCGCGACGAGCGCAACCCUCAUGUUUAGUUGCCACUAUGAGUUUGGAACCCUGAACAGACCGCUUGUGUUAAGCCGGAGGCAAGAGAGGAUGAGGCCAAGUCAUCAUGCCCCUUAUGCCUUGGGCGACACACGUGCUACAAUUGGCGGGACAAAGGGUCACAAUCUCUCGAGGGUGAGAUAACUCCAAAAACUCGUCCUCAGUUCGGAUUGCAGGCUGUAACUCGCCUGCAUGAAGCAGGAGUCGCUAGUAAUCGCCGGUUAGCUAUACAGCGGUGAAUCCAUUCCCGGGCCUUGUACACACUGCCCGUCAUACUAUAGGAGUUGGCCAUGUUUGAAGUCAUUACCCUUAACCGUAUGGAGGGGGUGCCUAAAUCUAGGCUUCCGACUGGAGUGAAGUCAUAACAAGGUAGCCGUACUGGAAGGACCAGCUG
rnacentral:rRNA from 1 species